rnacentral:rRNA from 1 species
UCCGGAGAGUUCGCCUGAGAAAUCGCGAACACAUCUAAGGAAGGCAGCAGGCGCGAAAAUUACCCACUCUCAGCACGAGGAGGUAGUGACGAAAAAUAACGAGACCGUUCUCUUUCGAGGCCGGUCAUCGGAAUGGGUACAAUUUAAACCCUUUAACGAGUAUCUAUGAGAGGGCAAGUCUGGUGCCAGCAGCCGCGGUAAUUCCAGCUCUCAAAGUGCAUAGAAUUAUUGCUGCGGUUAAAAAGCUCGUAGUUGGAUCUGUGCCAUAGGCCGGGGUCCACCUUCACAGGUGCGUACUCUUGUUUGCCUAGGCUUUUUGUCGGUUUUCCCGUCGUCGGCCUUCGUUGGUUAGCGGCGGGUGGCUGGCGAGUUUAUUUUGAGAAAAUCAGAGUGCUCAAUACAGGCGUUUUGCUUGAAUGAUUGUGCAUGGAAUAAUAGAAAAGGAUUUCGGUCCUCUUUUAUUGGUUUUGUGGACUGAGAUAAUGGUUAACAGGGACAAACGGGGGCAUUCGUAUCGCUGCGUGAGAGGUGAAAUUCUUGGACCGUAGCGAGACGCCCUACUGCGAAAGCAUUUGCCAAGAAUGUCUUCAUUAAUCAAGAACGAAAGUCAGAGGUUCGAAGGCGAUCAGAUACCGCCCUAGUU